GCUCGGGUGGCGAAAUGGCAGACGCGCUAGCCUUAGGAGCUAGUACCUUCGGGUGUGAGAGUUCAAGUCUCUCCCCGAGCACCA
rnacentral:tRNA from 1 species